AUUUGUGUCGAUAUGGAUGAGAAUUAUAUUGUUUCCUUUUGAAGGUGCAGUUUUUAUUUGGACCCAUGACUAUCAGGAGAGAUUGCCAACCCCUUUGGGGCCUGCUGAAGGGCGAAGAGCUCGCAGAGCCCUAAAAGGUUCUACAGCUUCGGCCUGAUUCUCUGAGGACACGUCCUCCAGACACCUGGUUCCCCUGCUGGGAGGCAGCCUAGUCUUCCCGUGGAGAGGCCCACCUGGGAAGGAAGCAAGGCACAGCACGCGUGGGGUCUUGGGGACGGACCCUCCAGUUGCUGCUGAGCGCCAUCAGCUCAGCCUGCAGGAAGCAGAGGGGGCCUCUACUGGCAGACUCCCCACUGUCUGGACUUUUGGAGUCAUCAGCAGACAGAUGAGGUCUCCCUAUGUUGCCCAGGAUGAUCCCAAACUCCUGGCCUCAUGCAGUACUUUCCACCUUGGCCUCCGGAGUAGCUGGGACUACAGGUGCACGUGAUGUGGUGGCCUCAUGCAGAACAGUGAUUUUCAACUGGUGAGCUGCAGCACACCGGUAUGCUGGGAGAGGAUCUUAUGUGUGCCUUGAAAAAUUUUAAAGGUCAUUAAUUUGAAUUAUUUUUGAAGAAAUUUCAAAGCACAAUAUGUUCUUUCUUAUACUCUUCUUUUAGCAACAUAAUUUAAGUGUGAAAGUUUAACUACAGGUUCAAGUCUGCUAUAAGAAAAAAAAAAAGGCUGAAAACUACUGCUCUUGAAUAAGACUAUGAAGUUCCUGUUUUCCACUGAACUUUAACUCCAUCAUUUUAUUAUGGGGGGCUUAGCGGAGAGAUGCUACAUUUGAACACACUGGUAGCUAAUUUUCUCAUGAUCAAUAAAAUUGUUUUAUCAUGUACAGGUCUCUUUCCUCCACUCCCCUCGUGUAAUGGGGUGGUGAGUUUAAUAAAAACAAUUUCUGUUAAGACUGUCAG